ACACACACAGACACAGACACACAGUUGCGCGCGAGAGCUAGCUAGCUUGACGACGAGAUACAUAUAAAUAUAUACUACCUUGCGGGAACGGCGCGAGCGACUUGCCGCAUGAGCCUUUGAGCAUGUCGAUGUCGUCGGAGAAGGCGACGCAGCCGUCGGCGGUGAUCCCCCAGAAGAGCGGCACCCUGCCCUCGGGGUCCUGACAGACAGACAGACAGACAGUCACUCAGUCAGCAGCAUGCAGCGCUGCGGAAGAAAGAAAGGAAAACGAGCAGCAGGCCGGCUUCUUACGGAUGCGACUAGCAGGGAGUUGGUGGACUUGUCGAAGAGGACGAAGGCGUAGGAGCCGGUGAGCUGGGCGAGCAUGAAGCUGGCCGGGUAGGGCGCGCGGUCGCGCAGCGUCUUGUAGGCCUCGAUGACGAGGAGCACCUCGUUGGCGCCCUUGCUUGACAGCCCGUGCUGCUGGCUCAGACGACCCAGGUUGUCCAGCACCCCCUCGAACAGGCAGAACACCUCGUCCUUGGCCGCGAACGACCUGCCGCCGCAUGCAUAAUAACGCCCUUGUUGGAGGAAUCACGGCCCACAAAUCAUGGCCCCCCUCCCCCCGUCUAUCUAGUGCGAGAUCUGUGUGGGCUUUGUGCCGAGCCAGGGCCCACGGACUACCACCACCCACCCUGCCACCCACUCUCACUCACUCACUCACUUGCUACCGAACCGAGCGGCCUGUAACUGUCAUGGUGGGCAGAAUUUCGUGUUUUUUUUUAUUAUUAUUACUACUAAAAAAAUUGCAAGGUCAAAUCAAACGUUGUAUCGGCGUAGCUUUUAAUUCCAAUCUCGUCCCUGUGAUGAUGUGAUGCGACACAUCACCAACCCAACUCCUCUCUGUGCCCUGCCUGCCUGAGAGUCAUCCCAUCCGGUCAGUUAGAAACUGACGACGCUCAGUUUCGUAUGCAGACAAUAAAUACAUCCUGACGUAUUAAUUUACACGAGAAGAACCAGAUCCAGUAGUGGGGAAAACUCUAUUUUUCUUCUAAGGAAUUCUAUUUUUUCCAAAGACAAAAUGGUGGCUCUGGUUGGAUCCGUAAGAUAAACCGAACUGACUAAAAUUUAGUUAUUUUAAACCGAGAAGAGCUAAAUAAAGGUGAGGGGAAGGAUGGAAUGGAACUGUGUCCUUUUCAGUCGCUCUUAGCUUGCGAGAGGAAGAACUACUAGAAGAACUCAGUCUCGGCUUGCUUGAGCACACGAGAUCCAACACAGAUCCGACAAGUAAUAAUAAUAAUACUCGUAGCUAGGGGGCGGCAGUGCCUGCCAGCAGCAAAGCAGUAUGCAGCCCCGUACACGAACGUACGUACCUGGGGCGGAGGAGCGCCUGGUUGGUGUGGGAGUAGGCGAGGUGGCCGUGGUCGCCGAGCUGCACGGACACGGCCGGCUCGGAGGCGGCCAGGAAGCGCCCCACCAGCUGCGACGCCUUCGUCUUGGGCGACGGCGUCCGGCUGCCCGCCGCCACCAGCUCCGCCGGCACCUCCACCACCUGCCCGCUGAACACCGCCAACAUCUUCGUUCGAGGACCACCUAGCUAGCCUCUCUACUAGAUCUCUCUCUCGCUCUCUCUCUCUCCUUCCCCCC
rnacentral:lncRNA from 1 species